UACGUAGGGUGCGAGCGUUGAUCGGAAUUACUGGGCGUAAAGCGUGCGCAGGCGGCUUUGCAAGACAGAUGUGAAAUCCCCGGGCUUAACCUGGGAACUGCAUUUGUGACUGCAAGGCUAGAGUACGGCAGAGGGGGAUGGAAUUCCGCGUGUAGCAGUGAAAUGCGUAGAUAUGCGGAGGAACACCAAUGGCGAAGGCAAUCCCCUGGGCCUGUACUGACGCUCAUGCACGAAAGCGUGGGGAGCAAACAGG
rnacentral:rRNA from 1 species